GGCUCAGGAUGAACGCUGGCGGCGUGCCUAAUACAUGCAAGUCGAGCGAACGGACGAGAAGCUUGCUUCUCUGAUGUUAGCGGCGGACGGGUGAGUAACACGUGGAUAACCUACCUAUAAGACUGGGAUAACUUCGGGAAACCGGAGCUAAUACCGGAUAAUAUUUUGAACCGCAUGGUUCAAAAGUGAAAGACGGUCUUGCUGUCACUUAUAGAUGGAUCCGCGCUGCAUUAGCUAGUUGGUAAGGUAACGGCUUACCAAGGCAACGAUGCAUAGCCGACCUGAGAGGGUGAUCGGCCACACUGGAACUGAGACACGGUCCAGACUCCUACGGGAGGCAGCAGUAGGGAAUCUUCCGCAAUGGGCGAAAGCCUGACGGAGCAACGCCGCGUGAGUGAUGAAGGUCUUCGGAUCGUAAAACUCUGUUAUUAGGGAAGAACAUAUGUGUAAGUAACUGUGCACAUCUUGACGGUACCUAAUCAGAAAGCCACGGCUAACUACGUGCCAGCAGCCGCGGUAAUACGUAGGUGGCAAGCGUUAUCCGGAAUUAUUGGGCGUAAAGCGCGCGUAGGCGGUUUUUUAAGUCUGAUGUGAAAGCCCACGGCUCAACCGUGGAGGGUCAUUGGAAACUGGAAAACUUGAGUGCAGAAGAGGAAAGUGGAAUUCCAUGUGUAGCGGUGAAAUGCGCAGAGAUAUGGAGGAACACCAGUGGCGAAGGCGACUUUCUGGUCUGUAACUGACGCUGAUGUGCGAAAGCGUGGGGAUCAAACAGGAUUAGAUACCCUGGUAGU
rnacentral:rRNA from 1 species